UUGAAACUGAUAAAAAGUACCAAGGAAAAGAAAUACAUUUGGAAAAUGUAGUUUAAGCCUUCAAGUCUGGCUUCUGACCAACUGCAUGUUAACAGAGAGAAGCUCUAGUGUGGAAAGUUCCAGUCCCCAGAUCCUGGACUCUACUGGGGGCUUCGCAGCCCAGCCCCGAGGACACAUGCUGUAGAAAUCAGGUUUCUCACUGUCCACGGUCUAUUUUUUAGGUACCAGUCAUUUCUCUGGCUGCUUUUAUUUUCCUCUUUUUGUUUUUCCUUUGCAUUCUUGCUCACCAGCCUUAAUUAAUUCAUUUUGUAAACAGGGAAUGCUUCUGGACAUUUGAGUCAAUUUUGUAUCUAUCUACGAAAUCAGCCCUCUCAUUCGGGUUUUUAGCUGCUGCCCCAGUGUGUCACCCCCACACACUCCUAGUUUGUGAUUGUGCAGAAGUGUGUGUAUCCUUAUGUGCCUGUAGCAGUAUUUUUGUUUCGUUUUGUUUAAACCGGAAGGGAUAAAACAAAACAAAACAAAAUAAAUGCAAAUAGAUGUUAAUUAUUAUCACAAUGCAGGCCCGUUGUUCUUGCCAGUUCUCCACUUUGUGAGAGGGCCCUACCUACAGUCCUUUAAUCUAAUCUAACCCCUUUCAAUUCUUUAUUCUCGUCAGGUGCCAGAAUGAUUUUGCAUAUAUUAUUUAAUUUGAUCUUUACAAUAAUUUAUUUCACAGAUUAAUCAGAACUUGAAGCCAUGGUCUUCCCUCCAUUUGUUAAUUAUAUUUUUAUUGGGCAUCUUCUACUUACCAGACACUUCUCUGGGUACUGGGGAUUGGUCGCUAACCUGAUUUUACAUGAGUUUAUAACCUCGACAGACGAUGAUCAAACAAGCAAAACGUAAACGCGGGGUGUGCACACGCAUGCGCAAGCACAUGAAGGUGUAGGUGCGCGCAUGCGUGUAAGCCUGCGCGUGCGCGCAUGUUGUGUGCGUACGUAAGGGCAAGUACAGGCACGUGCUCUGAAGAAUAACGGAGAACAACGGAGAGUCCGAGACCGUGGGUACUUCGGUCAGUGUUGGCCCAGAAUGAAAAACACACCCCUUAUAAUCCGCGGAGGAUGUAAUCCACGGCAUUAAUAACUGGUGUCAUGUCUGGAUUAGAUGUUCGAGUGCUACAAUAUACACCUUGUUCUUAACAAGUGCUACGAAGACUCAGUGUCAUCAUCUUGGGGUCUUCUUACUGCCAGUAAGUAGCCGUGUGAUUUAGUGUAGGGCACGUAAACUCCCUGUGCCUCAGUUUCCUAAAUCAAAUUUGAAGAGGUUGAGUUAAUUACUAAGACUCCUUUUAGAGCCAAAAAACCCAUGAUUAAAUAAUAUUUUUCUGCAGGCAUUAUAAUUUAUUCCUCAUUGGGAGGAACAUGCUCUGUGUCACCAUCACAUGUAGGACAUCUAUAGAUGAUCAGUAUCCAAGUUUAGGAAAAGUAUCAAAUACCUCAGUACAUAAAUUUGUUAAUGUUUGGGUUGUUGGGGGUUUUUUUGUGUGUAUAUUUUUUAUUUAGUUCCUUUCUGAGGAUUGUGUCCAUUAAGAUACUUCAUGCUCAGCCAGUAUGUUUAUUAUUUUUCAAUAGUAUGCUUUAAAUAAAGGAGAGAACUUUAUUUGA